AUUUUGUGAUCUCUGAGUGGGAGGGGCCUGGCCAUCUCUGGGCCCAGAGGAGGUGUCGGCCACACUAGCUGAACUGAAGGCGGGCUGGAGCUAUGCCCUGCUGUCUCCUUGCUCUUCUCCUGGGCACUUUCUUAGGUGUCAGAGCUCAGACCAUCCAUCAAUGGCCACUUAUCAGGGUGCAGCCUGCAGGCAGCCCGCUCUCCCUGGAGUGUACUGUGAAGGGGACAUCAAACCCCAGUCUGUACUGGUACCGGCAGGCGGCAGGAGGGGCCCUCCAGCUGCUCUUCUACUCCAACAGUAUUGACCAGAUAGAUGCUGAGGAACCCCAGAACUUCGAAGCCUCCAGGCCCAAGGACGGCCUGUUCAUCCUGCAUUCUAAGAAACUCCUGCCUAGUAACUCUGGCUUCUACCUCUGCGCCUGGAAUCUCACACUGAGCUGGAAUCAUUUAAUCUGCAGCACAAAAUCUGAGACAGAGACACAAAGCGAUCAAGACAGUAUUGAAUAAUGCCCAAGGGUCCUCGUUGCACUUUAAGGUCUACCUUGUAUUAAGCAGCUCUACGUGCGGGACGCUCUGAGCCAUCACAAGGAUUAAAAAGAAAAGUGAAAUACACCCAAGACGGUGCUGGGCAUGGUCACAACAUGGUUUAAUCAAGGCGCUUGGAGUUUGAGAUUCACAGAUACACACUACUACAUAAAAAAAGGAUAAACAACAAGGUCCUACUAUAUAGCUCAGGGAACUCUAUUCA